CCCUUAGAUGUUCUGGGCUGCACGCGCGCUACACUGAUGUGUUCAUCGGGUUCGACCUUGCCCGGGAGGGUUGGGUAAUCCUUUCAAAACACAUCGUGAUGGGGAUAGAUUAUUGCAAUUAUUAAUCUUCAACGAGGAAUUCCUAGUAAGCGCGAGUCAUCAGCUCGUGCUGAUUACGUCCCUGCCCUUUGUACACACCGCCCGUCGCUCCUACCGAUUGAGUGGUCCGGUGAAUAAUUCGGACUGCAGCAGUGUCCAGUUCCUGGACGUUGCAGCGGAAAGUUUAGUGAACCUUAUCACUUAGAGGAAGGAGAAGUCGUAACA
rnacentral:rRNA from 1 species